CACGUAGGGAGCAAGCGUUGCCCGGAUUUAUUGGGCGUAAAGAGCUCGUAGGUGGUUCGGUAAGUCAGGUGUGAAACCUCCAGGCUCAACCUGGAGACGCCACUUGAUACUGCUGUGACUGGAGUCCGGUAGGGGAGCGUGGAAUUCCUGGUGUAGCGGUGAAAUGCGCAGAUAUCAGGAGGAACACCAGCGGCGAAGGCGGCGCUCUGGGCCGGUACUGACACUGAGGAGCGAAAGCGUGGGUAGCAAACAGG
rnacentral:rRNA from 1 species